UCGCCGGGAGUGCGUCAUUUAGCACGCUGGGGCUACGGCCUCACCCGGCGU
rnacentral:ncRNA from 1 species